UAGUUUUGUGAGGAGGUUGUAGGCUCGGAUGUUGUAAGGGGGAAUAUUUUUGUUGUUUUUGUUGUGUAGUAUUAUCACGAAAAUUUAUAUACUACCAUAGUGCAACAAAUCUACACAAUGAUACUACAGACGAGCAUGAGAAACUAUUCCAAAUAUCGGCGGGUAAUGAUACCCACCUCUCCAGGCGUGAUUCCUAGCAGCUUCGGUUGCCUCGUUACUCUGCCGAUCAGAUGUUAGGUAGCUAAAAUCAGAUGCUGCAUGGGUACAUAACCAACAACAAAGCAAAACUGCGGCAACAAUAAAAUAUUCGUUAACCGAUCACAUAGGCGUGCUGAUAUGCUUGAUAAGUAUGGCCAUACCCUUAACAAAAGUACUUACGGGUUUGAACUUACAGGGAGUAAUGUAGUCG